rnacentral:lncRNA from 1 species
CCCGCCCCCACGCUAGCCGGUGGGCGGGGCCUUGGCGCUCACGCUCGGCUGGCUGCUCGCGUAGGGUCCCUAAGGGGAUGUGAACUGACUUUCCCAACUCUGACUGCCCCGGGCCGCGGCAGGCGACUCUUGGGACCUGACAAGUGUGGAUACUCAUCGGGGCAGACCGGUCAGGACCGCUGCGUCUACUGAAAUGAGUUGACUACAACUGCGAGGUAAACUGUUCCCUCCUUCCACAGAUGAGUCUGACACAUGCUGUCCUUCAUGCACUAAAGAGACGCAGACUGCAGUGCUGUGUGGGCUUCUGACGUCACUCUACCACCGUAAAGAUGAAAAGUGCUCUGAUGAUGUCACUCAUCUCCCCAACCUGUCCCCAACUCACAUAUUAACUGCCUAAGUGCACAGGGGAGCCCCUGAGUUUCACAGCACCAGCUAGGCUGAGAACUUUUACGCUCGUCAUGGUGAUGUGACAUGGACCAUGGCGUGCUGUGUGGCGUGCUGUGUGGUGUGCGGUGUGCGGUGUGUGGUG